rnacentral:tRNA from 1 species
GGCCCUAUCGUCUAAUGGUUAGGACACCAGGUUUUCAUCCUGGCAAUCGGGGUUCGAUUCCCCGUAGGGUCACCA